AUGUGAUAAUAGUAAUAGAUGAAGAAUGAAGAUAAAAGAUACUAAUAUAAGUGAAGAUAGAAAGAUAGUUAAGAAUAAUGAUAGCAGUAAUAAAUGAAGAUAGAGAUACCAAUAUAAUAAGUAAAGAGAUAUAGAUAAACAAGAUAGAGGUAAGAUCGUAACAAUAAGCAAAUGAAUUAAAGAUAAAAUAAGUGAAAAAAAAAGAUAAUUAUAAGGAAAGUAAAGAUAUAUAGAGAAACAAGAUAGAGGGAAGAUCGUAACAAUAAGCGAAUGAACUGGAGAAUAAGCGCAGGAAUGGCUGGACCAAAAAGAAUGAUAUAUAUAAGUAUGUCUUUUUGUAUUUCCUUUGAUUCUCGACACAGCAAACAAACAGACAAACGAACAAACGAAGGGACUAGGUAACACUCAAAAUCUCUCUCUCUCUCUCUCUCUCUCUCUCUCUCUC